rnacentral:rRNA from 1 species
GCGGACGGGUGAGUAACACGUGGGCAACCUACCUGUGAGACGGGGAUAACUCCGGGAAACCGGGGCUAAUACCGGAUAACGCAUCGAACCGCAUGGUUCGAUGAUCAAAGAUGGCUUCUAGCUAUCACUCACAGAUGGGCCCGCGGCGCAUUAGUUAGUUGGUGAGGUAACGGCUCACCAAGGCGACGAUGCGUAGCCGACCUGAGAGGGUGAUCGGCCACACUGGGACUGAGACACGGCCCAGACUCCUACGGGAGGCAGCAGUAGGGAAUCAUCCGCAAUGGACGCAAGUCUGACGGUGCAACGCCGCGUGAGCGAUGAAGGUCUUCGGAUCGUAAAGCUCUGUUGUGAGGGAAGAACAAGUGCCGUUCGAAUAGGGCGGCACCUUGACGGUACCUCACCAGAAAGCCCCGGCUAACUACGUGCCAGCAGCCGCGGUAAUACGUAGGGGGCAAGCGUUGUCCGGAAUUAUUGGGCGUAAAGCGCGCGCAGGCGGUUCCUUAAGUCUGAUGUGAAAGGCCACAGCUCAACUGUGGAG